rnacentral:rRNA from 1 species
GGUUAAGUGACUAAGCGUACACGGUGGAUGCCUUGGCAGUCAGAGGCGAUGAAAGACGUAGUAACUUGCGAUAAGCCCAGAUUAGGUAGUAACAACCAUUUGAGUCUGGGAUUUCUGAAUGGGGAAACCCACGUGCAUAAGCACGUAUCCUUACCUGAAUACAUAGGGUAAGGAGGCGAACCGGGGAACUGAAACAUCUAAGUACCCCGAGGAAAAGAAAUCAACCGAGAUUCCGAAAGUAGCGGCGAGCGAAAUUGGACUAGCCCUUAAGCUUUACACGCGUUAGACGAACGGUCUGGAAAGUCCGACGAUACAGGGUGAUAGUCCCGUAGUUGACGACGUGUGUUCAGUGAAAUCGAGUAGGGCGGGACACGUGAUAUCCUGUCUGAAUAUGGGGGACCAUCCUCCAAGGCUAAAUACUACUGACUGACCGAUAGUGAACCAGUACCGUGAGGGAAAGGCGAAAAGAACCCCUGUGAGGGGAGUGAAAUAGAACCUGAAACCGUGUACGUACAAGCAGUAGGAGCACCUUCGUGGUGUGACUGCGUACCUUUUGUAUAAUGGGUCAGCGACUUAUAUUCAGUGGCAAGGUUAACCAUCUAGGGGAGCCGUAGGGAAACCGAGUCUUAACUGGGCGUUCAGUCUCUGGAUAUAGACCCGAAACCAGGUGAUCUAGCCAUGGGCAGGUUGAAGGUUGAGUAACAUCAACUGGAGGACCGAACCGACUAAUGUUGAAAAAUUAGCGGAUGACUUGUGGCUAGGGGUGAAAGGCCAAUCAAACCUGGAGAUAGCUGGUUCUCCCCGAAAGCUAUUUAGGUAGCGCCUCGGACGAAUACUACUGGGGGUAGAGCACUGUUAAGGCUAGGGGUCAUCCCGACUUACCAACCCUUUGCAAACUCCGAAUACCAGUAAGUACUAUCCGGGAGACACACGGCGGGUGCUAACGUCCGUCGUGGAGAGGGAAACAACCCAGACCGCCAGCUAAGGUCCCAAAUUACUACUAAGUGGGAAACGAUGUGGGAAGGCUCAGACAGCCAGGAUGUUGGCUUAGAAGCAGCCAUCAUUUAAAGAAAGCGUAAUAGCUCACUGGUCGAGUCGGCCUGCGCGGAAGAUGUAACGGGGCUAAGUAGUAAACCGAAGCUGCGGCAAUGUGCUUUUGCACAUUGGGUAGGGGAGCGUUCUGUAAGCGGUUGAAGGUGUGUGGUAACGCAUGCUGGACGUAUCAGAAGUGCGAAUGCUGACAUGAGUAACGAUAAAGGGGUGAAAAACCUCCUCGCCGGAAGACCAAGGGUUCCUGUCCAACGUUAAUCGGGGCAGGGUAAGUCGACCCCUAAGGCGAGGCCGAAAGGCGUAGUCGAUGGGAAACGGGUUAAUAUUCCCGUACUUCUUACAAUUGCGAUGGGGGGACGGAGAAGGCUAGGUGGGCCUGGCGACGGUUGUCCAGGUUCAAGUGCGUAGGCUUAAGAGUUAGGUAAAUCCGGCUCUUUUUAAGGCUGAGACACGACGUCGAGCACCUACGGGUGUGAAGUCAUUGAUGCCAUGCUUCCAGGAAAAGCCUCUAAGCUUCAGAUUGUAAGGAAUCGUACCCCAAACCGACACAGGUGGUCGGGUAGAGAAUACCAAGGCGCUUGAGAGAACUCGGGUGAAGGAACUAGGCAAAAUGGUACCGUAACUUCGGGAGAAGGUACGCUCUUGAUGGUGAAGUCCCUCGCGGAUGGAGCUGACGAGAGUCGCAGAUACCAGGUGGCUGCAACUGUUUAUUAAAAACACAGCACUGUGCAAAAUCGUAAGAUGACGUAUACGGUGUGACGCCUGCCCGGUGCCGGAAGGUUAAUUGAUGGGGUUAGACUUCGGUCGAAGCUCUUGAUCGAAGCCCCGGUAAACGGCGGCCGUAACUAUAACGGUCCUAAGGUAGCGAAAUUCCUUGUCGGGUAAGUUCCGACCUGCACGAAUGGCGUAAUGAUGGCCACGCUGUCUCCACCCGAGACUCAGUGAAAUUGAAAUCGCUGUGAAGAUGCAGUGUACCCGCGGCUAGACGGAAAGACCCCGUGAACCUUUACUACAGCUUGGCACUGAACAUUGACCCUACAUGUGUAGGAUAGGUGGGAGGCUUUGAAGCACGUACGCCAGUAUGUGUGGAGCCGUCCUUGAAAUACCACCCUUGUAGUGUUGAUGUUCUAACGUCGACCCCUAAUCGGGGUUGCGGACAGUGCCUGGUGGGUAGUUUGACUGGGGCGGUCUCCUCCCAAAGAGUAACGGAGGAGCACGAAGGUGGGCUAAUCACGGUUGGACAUCGUGAGGUUAGUGCAAUGGCAUAAGCCCGCUUGACUGCGAGAAUGACAAUUCGAGCAGGUGCGAAAGCAGGUCAUAGUGAUCCGGUGGUUCUGAAUGGAAGGGCCAUCGCUCAACGGAUAAAAGGUACUCCGGGGAUAACAGGCUGAUACCGCCCAAGAGUUCAUAUCGACGGCGGUGUUUGGCACCUCGAUGUCGGCUCAUCACAUCCUGGGGCUGAAGUCGGUCCCAAGGGUAUGGCUGUUCGCCAUUUAAAGUGGUACGCGAGCUGGGUUUAGAACGUCGUGAGACAGUUCGGUCCCUAUCUGCCGUGGGCGUUGGAAGAUUGAAGGGGCUGCUCCUAGUACGAGAGGACCGGAGUGGACGAACCUCUGGUGUUCGGGUUGUGUCGCCAGACGCAUUGCCCGGUAGCUAAGUUCGGAAUCGAUAACCGCUGAAAGCAUCUAAGCGGGAAGCGAGCCCUGAGAUGAGUCUUCCCUGAUACUUUAAGUAUCCUAAAGGGUUGUCGGAGACUACGACGUUGAUAGGUCAGGUGUGUAAGUGCUGUGAGGCAUUGAGCUAACUGAUACUAAUUGCCCGUGAGGCUUAACCAU